UACGUAGGAGACGAGCGUUGUCCGGAAUCACUGGGCGUAAAGCGCGUGUAGGCGGAUCGGCAAGUCUGCUGUGAAAGCUCCUGGCUUAACCGGGAGUGGUCGGUGGAAACUGCCAGUCUGGAGGACGGUAGAGGUAGGUAGAAUUCCCGGUGUAGUGGUGAAAUGCGUAGAGAUCGGGAGGAAUACCUGUGGCGAAGGCGGCCUACUGGGCCGGACCUGACGCUGAGACGCGAAGGCGUGGGGAGCGAACGG
rnacentral:rRNA from 1 species